rnacentral:misc_RNA from 1 species
CUCUUCAGUCGUUGGCCCAAGAGCAAAAUCACCGGCCUUGGCCGCCCGUGGGUUUCCUGUGUUGCAUACCUACCGGAAGAAUUGGGACGACAAAACGACCCGACGUUCUCCCGGCGCCGCGGCUCCCCUUGCGUGGGCGCGGCGUGCGUGGGGUGAACCGCAAAGGCGAGUCCGUGUUCCGGGUCGCAACCAAGCGACGCGUCCCGGCCCACGAGCUGCCGCCUGAGCUCUCGGAUGCAGUGCACCAGGAGGGCGGGGGUCGCACGACGACCUCUGUUUGCCCGAACUCGGCGUCAAUCGCCCACACCGAACGACUGCCGUCGUCGCCUCGGGACUGUCGGCCCCGUCGGGGCUGCCGGGCUCGUGCGGCGCCGGCGUCGGUUAGGAAUGCU